CAGUCGCCGCGGGAAUACGAAGGGGGCUAGCGUUGUUCGGAUUUACUGGGCGUAAAGCGCACGUAGGCGGAUCGAUCAGUCAGGGGUGAAAUCCCAGAGCUCAACUCUGGAACUGCCUUUGAUACUGUCGAUCUGGAGUAUGGAAGAGGUGAGUGGAAUUCCGAGUGUAGAGGUGAAAUUCGUAGAUAUUCGGAAGAACACCAGUGGCGAAGGCGACUCGCUGGACAAGUAUUGACGCUGAGGUGCGAAAGCGUGGGGAGCAAACAGGAUUAGAUACCCCUGUAGUCCCUGUCUCUUAUAC
rnacentral:rRNA from 1 species